GACGAACGCUGGCGGCGUGCUUAACACAUGCAAGUCGAACGGAAAGGCCCCUUUGGGGGUCCUCGAGUGGCGAACGGGUGAGUAACACGUGAGUAACCUGCCCUUGACUUCGGGAUAACUUCAGGAAACUGGGGCUAAUACCGGAUAGGAAUCCUUGCUGCAUGGUGGGGGUUGGAAAGCUUCGGCGGUUUUGGAUGGACUCGCGGCUUAUCAGCUUGUUGGUGGGGUAGUGGCUUACCAAGGCUUUGACGGGUAGCCGGCCUGAGAGGGCGACCGGCCACAUUGGGACUGAGAGACGGCCCAGACUCCGACGGGAGGCAGCAGUGGGGAAUAUUGCACAAUGGGCGGAAGCCUGAUGCAGCAACGCCGCGUGCGGGAUGACGGCCUUCGGGUUGUAAAACGCUUUCAGCAGGGGCGAAGCUUGUGGUGACGGUACCUGCAGAAGAAGCACCGGCUAACUACGUG
rnacentral:rRNA from 1 species